ACCAGGUGCAAAACCUGAGCAUGCACAGUACCGUUGUUCACCACUGGGGGCGCCCUACAGAAAUGGACUUCGAAGUAGUUUGAAUCACCCUUCCAGAUGCUUACUGUACCCGAACUCAUUGAACAGGAGACUGGGUUUCCUGAGAGAGAAAGCAAGCUUGUUGCUGUCCAAACAAAGCUGGAAGACCCCUGCCCCAGCAUCUGGUGACUUGGAAGGAAGGCAGGCCCUGGCCAAGCCUACCUCCAACACUUCUUUCUCCCUCCGGACCAGCAUGGCAGGCACAGAAGAAAGGGAGGUUGGUUUAUGUCAUCCCUGAGGUCAUCACAGAUGAAUAAAGCAUGAAGCUCAAAUGUCA
rnacentral:sRNA from 1 species